GGAGAUAAGAGCACUGUUCUCUGCAUUUGAGGACCCAGGUGGUUUGUCCAGUUGUGAAUCAUACAUACUCUGCCCCAGGGAGAGAGAAGGAAGUGGCUAUAAAAUGGAGUCCUUUUUACUUCCAUUGAGGACGUGACCCUUGAAAGAACUAACUCCAUAUAAUCACCGGUUUGGAAUGAGUGAUGGUAAAAAUCUCUUAUGAACAGAACGCAAGAGCUGAGUAGGAGCAGUGGCAACUGCUGCCCGGUGAUUUGUCAUUGACCACUUCAGAGCUCAGCCAUCGAAUACCUCGCUCCCGGCUACAUCUUCUGAAAAUAAACGAAAGUCAGUCAUUUCUGGUCUGACUUGGUUGUCAGCAGUUCGGAUUCUUCAGAGUGCUACUAAUUUCUCCAUGCAAUUGAAUGUGUCCAAGAUAGCUUUUCUGAGAGAUAGCUUGAUUUUUUUUUGGGGGGGGAAAGGUUAUCAUUGGAUUCUCCUAAAUUGAAAUAAUAUAUGCUGUGUAUGCUUAGAGUAUGCUGUCUUUGAGCUGCACAGAUUUUCUUCAUUUAUUGUAAACUAUGAUAUACAAAUGAAUAAAAUACAUGCAGUUUAAUAACUAUAAAUUGAAAACCCAAGAAACAUUAAGAGCCAGAAAUAAGACUUUUCCAGCAAUUCAGAAGCCUACCCAUCUAUGCGCCCCUUCCUAGCCAUAACCCCCUCUCACUGCUGGCCUUCCAUUGUAAACAGUAAACAUGCCGUGACUUAGUAUUUUGCUUCCUAUGUUUGCAUUCCUAAAAGUA